AAUUCUCAUGGGCGUUGUUUGCCCAUCUCCCUCAGCCUCACCCUCUCUCUUAAAUGGCCCAGGAGCCAGGUCUCAUGCCUUCCUUUGGGCCAUGAGAUCAUAAGCAUGAUCAUUGUGAUGCUGUAAAUAUACUUUAGUUACCCCAGCUCUGCCAGACAUGGAAAUUCUCAGUCCACAGCGUGGGGUUGUAGAAAGCUAAGUUGCUCAUGUGUUAGGCCACACCAGCCCCAGGAACUGCUUCUGAAAGGCUGGAUAUGCUGGUAUGGAGUGAUGGCCAGUCCCCCACACCAGGCCCUGAAAUCAGGGUAGCUGGGCCUGCUGCUCAAGGUCCAACACAAACCCUCAAGAAACUGGGUGCUGGUCCCAGAUCUCCUUCUCAUCAUGGUCCAGAUGUGGACAACUGUCAUCUGCCCCUUCUGCCCUUGGCUACAACCCAGUGAGAACUCUCACUUGUGCCUGGACUGAUUUCCUGGUCUCCUGGCUUGAUCUGCUCCCGUCCGAUUUCCACACUGCCACCCCAGCAGUUUUUCCCCAGUAUGAGGAAACUAAGCUUCCUGGGAAAUAAUUAUCAUACAACUGGUAAUCGGGAGAGCCAAGAAUUCUACACAACUCCACUGCUCAUGUGCUUAAUAAACAAAUUAUACUGCUUUCCAUGAGGGUUAUUAGGAAUUCAUAUAUUUAAGAAGCGCUAGGUAAAUUAGUCAAAAUUCCAAACAAUGGUUAAAUCUAGGGUGUUCAGAUAAAGCAAGUAAAUUUCCAAAAUAUAAG
ensembl:lncRNA